AUUCCAGCUCCAAUAGCGUAUAUUAAAGUUGUUGCAGUUAAAAAGCUCGUAGUUGGAUUUCAGAGUGAGCUCGUCCGGUCGGCCUAAAUGGUCUGAACUGGUUGACUCUCUCUUGCUUGUGGAUCCCGCCCGGAGUUAACUCUUCGGAUGUGGACUUCACAUCGUUUACCUUGAAAAAAUUAGAGUGUUCAAAGCAGGCGUAUGCUUGAAUAUAUUAGCAUGGAAUAAUGGAAUAGGACCCUGGUUCUAUUUUGUUGGUUUUGAGGACCAGAGUAAUGAUUAAUAGGGAUAGUUGGGGGCAUUCAUAUCUCAUUGUCAGAGGUGAAAUUCUUGGAUUUAUGAAAGAUGAACUUCUGCGAAAGCAUUUGCCAAGGAUGUUUUCAUUA
rnacentral:rRNA from 1 species